GUGGGUAGUUUGACUGGGGCGGUCUCCUCCUAAAGAGUAACGGAGGAGCACGAAGGUUGGCUAAUCCUGGUCGGACAUCAGGAGGUUAGUGCAAUGGCAUAAGCCAGCUUGACUGCGAGCGUGACGGCGCGAGCAGGUGCGAAAGCAGGUCAUAGUGAUCCGGUGGUUCUGAAUGGAAGGGCCAUCGCUCAACGGAUAAAAGGUACUCCGGGGAUAACAGGCUGAUACCGCCCAAGAGUUCAUAUCGACGGCGGUGUUUGGCACCUCGAUGUCGGCUCAUCACAUCCUGGGGCUGAAGUAGGUCCCAAGGGUAUGGCUGUUCGCCAUUUAAAGUGGUACGCGAGCUGGGUUUAGAACGUCGUGAGACAGUUCGGUCCCUAUCUGCCGUGGGCGCUGGAGAACUGAGGGGGGCUGCUCCUAGUACGAGAGGACCGGAGUGGACGCAUCACUGGUGUUCGGGUUGUCAUGCCAAUGGCACUGCCCGGUAGCUAAAUGCGGAAGAGAUAAGUGCUGAAAGCAUCUAAGCACGAAACUUGCCCCGAGAUGAGUUCUCCCUGAGACUUAGAGUCUCCUGAAGGAACGUUGAAGACGACGACGUUGAUAGGCCGGGUGUGUAAGCGCAGCGAUGCGUUGAGCUAACCGGUACUAAUGAACCGUGA
rnacentral:rRNA from 2 species